rnacentral:rRNA from 1 species
GAUGAACGCUAGCUACAGGCUUAACACAUGCAAGUCGAGGGACCGGCGCGAGGGAGAGUUACAUGUAUCCAACCUGACUUUUACUCGAGGAUAGCCUUCUGAAAGUACUAUUAAUACCCGAUAUGCAGGAUGCGGAUGCGUUCCAUUAGGUUGUGGGUGAGGUAACGGCCCACCAAGCCUUCGAUGGAUAGGGGUUCGGAGAGGAAGGUCCCCCACAUUGGAACUGAGACACGGUCCAAACUCCUACGGGAGGCAGCAGUGAGGAAUAUUGGUCAAUGGGCGGUAGCCUGAACCAGCCAAGUAGCGUGAAGGAUGAAGGCUUAUGGGUCGUAAACUUCUUUUAUAUAAGAAUAUGUAUUAUAUGAAUAAGGAUCGGCUAACUCCGUGCCAGCAGCCGCGGUAAUAC